UACAGAGGUCCCGAGCGUUGUUCGGAUUCACUGGGCGUAAAGGGUGCGUAGGUGGUGAGGUAAGUCGGAUGUGAAAUCUCCGGGCUUAACCCGGAAAUGGCAUUGGAAACUACCUUGCUGGAGGAUUUGAGGGGGGAUUGGAAUACUUGGUGUAGCAGUGAAAUGCGUAGAUAUCAAGUGGAACACCAGUGGCGAAGGCGAAUCCCUGGAAAAUACCUGACACUGAGGCACGAAAGCUAGGGGAGCAAACAGG
rnacentral:rRNA from 1 species